CCCGUGAACCGUCUGCUCUCCCUCUUGACUCUCGCUGAGUUGGUGUCUUCCCCUCUUCCGUCGACCACGACGAGUCUUCCAAACUGCUCUGAGGCUCCCUCUCUUCCGCAGACCGCUGCUGCUGCCUUCUCUUGCCGCUGCUGCCUCAGACGCGUCUGUCGCCUUUCCCCUUCUCUCGCUGCUGCUGCCUCACAGCCUCACACGCGUCCCUCUCACUCUUGCUGGACUCUUGCUCCCGCCUUUACGCCAGUCAGACGCAUCCGUCGCAUUUCCCCUUCUCUCGCUGCUGCUGCCUCACAGCUUCAGACGCGUCCCUCUCGCUCUUGCUGGACUAGAGGACCGUUAAAAUGUUCUAUUGUUAGAGACUCGGAAGCAGAUUUGCAGGAGUAUCGUUAGGGACUGCUUUUUUUAUGUAACUUAUGGCAUUAUGCCUCUCCUUUUUUCCGUUUGGGUAGAUGAGGUUUCUGCCAUUGUCCGUGAUAUGGGUUCUUACACAUGCAAAGCUGGAUAUGCUGGGGAAGAUGUUCCAAAGGCAGUGUUUCCAUUUGAAGGUUGAAGCAAACUAGCUUGAAGGGCAGCUUCCUCGAAACUUGGGCAACUUAAUCAGAUCUUUUAUCCUUCUUCUUCUAGUCUUAGUCUUAAUAUUGGGGUCUUACUACUAUGUGGACUUCUGAAUACGGUCCAACUUUUUGAUUGAAGGUGGACCUUAAAAUUUAUUUGAGUUUGACAAUAGUCCAUCAUAAAUGUGAUAAAUUAUAUAUAAGAAAGGAAGUUUUGC